CCUACGGGAGGCUGCCGUGGGGAAUAUUGGACAAUGGGGGGAACCCUGAUCCAGCCAUGCCGCGUGUGUGAAGAAGGCCCUCGGGUUGUAAAGCACUUUCAGUGAGGAAGAACGCCUGGUGGUUAAUACCCAUCAGGAAAGACAUCACUCACAGAAGAAGCACCGGCUAACUCCGUGCCAGCAGCCGCGGUAAUACGGAGGGUGCGAGCGUUAAUCGGAAUUACUGGGCGUAAAGCGCGCGUAGGUGGCUUGAUAAGCCGGUUGUGAAAGCCCCGGGCUCAACCUGGGAACGGCAUCCGGAACUGUCAAGCUAGAGUGCAGGAGAGGAAGGUAGAAUUCCCGGUGUAGCGGUGAAAUGCGUAGAGAUCGGGAGGAAUACCAGUGGCGAAGGCGGCCUUCUGGACUGACACUGACACUGAGGUGCGAAAGCGUGGGUAGCAAACAGGAUUAGAUACCCGAGUAGUC
rnacentral:rRNA from 1 species